rnacentral:tRNA from 1 species
GUAAAACUCUAAAAUACAUCUCCUGGAUGCAACCCAGACACUUUAAUUAAGCUAGCACCUCCUAAGUAAA